ACUAUUUUGGCAGAUUAGUGCGUUAAAUUUAGAAUUUAUAUAUGUAAUAUGUAUUACAAAUAGUA
rnacentral:tRNA from 1 species